GUUAAUCUAUGUAUGAUGGUUCAUGACCACAAAUUAUGUUGCAGUUUGUACAUUAAGUGCCCACAUAUACCAUCUGAAAGGCAGAGUUUGCGGUCACUGGAAUUAAAAUACAAAUAAUGUGCUUCUAUUAACCGGAUCAAGCAGCUAUCGCUGUGGGUGUAGCCGGAGCAACCCUGUUCUCGCCAGGAAUCUCAGUAAACUCCGACAAAAUCGCUCUGAACUCAUCGCCUGUCAUGGUUUCCUUCUCAAGGAGAACCUCAACGAUCUUAUCCAUUGCUUCUCGGUUAUUUCUGAUAUGACCCAACGCAAUCUCGUAAGCGCUGUCCGAUAUCCGCUUGAUAGCAGCGUCAAUAUCCUCUGCAAGCUUCUCGGACAUGGAGUUCCUCGCCAUCAUUCUCAUGAUCACAUCCCCGCUCUGUCCUCCAGAGUCCAUAAGCGACCAUGGCCCGAUCUCCGACAUUCCAAACGUGGUCACCAUCUGCUUGGCCAAGCCAGUGAUCUGCUGUAAAUCACCGACAGCGCCAGUCGUAACCUCCGGUUCUCCAAAGAUCACCUCCUCAGCAGCUCUGCCACCAAGACCACCAACGAUUCUCGCAAACAGCUGUUGUUUAGAGAUCAAGGUCGGAUCAUCGGCAGGGAUGAACCAAGUAAGACCUCUCGCUUGCCCACGAGGAAUCAGGGUCACCUUUUGGACCGCAUCGUGUCCUGGAGUCAAGGUUCCGCAAAUAGCAUGACCGACUUCAUGAUACGCCACCAAACUUUUGCUCUUUCCGUCAGUCAUGACGGUUCCUUCCAUUCCAGCCACAAUCCUGUCGAUAGAAUCAUCUAUCUCCUUCGAUGAAAUAGCUGUCUUGCCGCGACGACCAGCCAAUAUUGCUGCCUCAUUCAAUAGAUUUGCGAGGUCUGCUCCACUAAAACCAGGCGUGCGCAUCGCUACGACAUCGAGCGACACAUCGGAAUCAAACUUCUUAUUGCUAGCGUGCACUUUCAGUAUCUCCGUGCGUCCGCGCACAUCUGGAACAUCAACGCUAACCUGUCUGUCGAAGCGUCCAGGUCUCAGCAAUGCAGAGUCGAGAAUAUCAGCACGGUUGGUGGCCGCAACGACAAUGAUACCAGUAUUGCCCUCAAAGCCGUCCAUCUCAGUCAAAAGCUGAUUAAGAGUCUGUUCUCUCUCAUCGUUCCCCCCUCCGAUACCAGUUCCUCUUUGCCUCCCAACAGCGUCAAUCUCAUCGACAAAGACAAUACACGGAGCAUUCUCCUUCGCCUUCUUGAAAAGAUCACGAACUCUCGA
rnacentral:misc_RNA from 1 species